CAAAGGAGAAAUCCGAUGGGAGAUGGACUCGCGGCUGAUUAGAUAGUUGGCGGGGUAGAGGCCCACCAAGUCGACGAUCAGUAGCCGGACUGAGAGGUUGAACGGCCACAUUGGGACUGAGACACGGCCCAGACUCCUACGGGAGGCAGCAGUGGGGGAUAUUGCACAAUGGGGGAAACCCUGAUGCAGCGACGCCGCGUGAGGGAAGACGGUUUUCGGAUUGUAAACCUCUGUCUUUGGGGACGAAUUGAGACGGUACCCAAGGAGGAAGCUCCGGCUAACUACGUGCCAGCAGCCGCGGUAAUACGUAGGGAGCAAGCGUUGUCCGGAAUUACUGGGUGUAAAGGGAGCGUAGGCGGGAUAGUAAGUUGAUUGUUAAAACUAUCGGCUCAACUGGUAGAUGCGAUCAAAACUGCAAUUCUUGAGUGAAGUAGAGGCAGGCGGAAUUCCUAGUGUAGCGGUGAAAUGCGUAGAUAUUAGGAGGAACACCAGUGGCGAAGGCGGCCUGCUGGGCUUUAACUGACGCUGAGGCUCGAAAGUGUGGGUAGCAAACAGGAUUAGAUACCCUGGUAGUCCACACUGUAAACGAUGAUUACUAGGUGUGGGUGGACUGACCCCAUCC
rnacentral:rRNA from 1 species